GUUCAGGUAGCUCAGCUAGUUAGAGUAAUUAAAGGACUGAAAAAUCCUUGUGUCAGUGGUUCAAAUCCACUUCUAAGCC